CUUACCUGGCGUGGGGGAUACCAUGAUCAAGAAGGUGGUUCACCCAGGGCGAGGCUCGGCCAUUGCACUCCGGUUGUGCUGACCCCUGCGAAUUCCCCAAAUGUGGGAAUCUCGACUGCAUAAUUUUUGGUAGUCGGGACUGA
rnacentral:snRNA from 1 species